rnacentral:lncRNA from 1 species
CUUGACUUGGACUAAAGGUGACAAUGGGCAGGAUGACUGGGUUGGCAUUAAAAUACUAUCCCCAUCCAUAAAAAAAUUCGAUAAGCAACAUGAUGACGAGACAUGAUGGGACAGAAAUUAAAAUAUCUCCUUUACCACCACAUUUGAUUAAUUUUUUUUUUUUAAUGUUACUAUUUGUAUCUUAAAAUAAGAUUUCAACUGGAAAACAUAAAAAUAAAAAGAUUCAAGAUGGGUUGGAGGAUGGUGGCAGAGGUCGGACUUUUACCAACCCUAAUUGAGCUGGAGUCCAAAAGAAUUCAAAGAAGAUAAAUUUUUAUGAGAAUAAAAAGUACGAAUAUUUGGUCAUUUUUCAUUAUUAGAGAAUGUUAGUGACCAACUUGCUCAUUUUUAAAAGAUUGAAGACCAAUGGUGCAAAUUUCCCCCCAUAUAUAAUGAAUGCAUGCGCUCUCACGUGGGAUUGUAGAGUUGUAGCUGCUAUUUUUGACCAGUGAUCCUAUACUAGAUUGCGCAAUCCAAGAAAGUAACAAAUGUGUUUGACAUAAAUUAUCUGCACUUAUCUUUUCCUUAUGUCACUCCGGCGUGCAUGUACCACUUUAAAUUGAUAAAGUUGUCACCCGUGACAAUGACGGCUCCAUGGCCAUCUUCGAAUAAAAAUUAUUUGCGAGAUUCAAAUUUCAUAGGUAACAUUCUAACUUGAAAAGUGAGAAUGAUCUUUAUCUUAUUACACAUAUGCCCAGAUAUAGUUGACGAGCACCUGAAAAUCCAUCGAUGAAUUUGAAGAUUACAAAAUAUGACGACCUCAUACCCCGAGCAUCCUCCACACGUUCUCCUUUAUAAACAUUAAGUAGACAUACACUCGACCUAAACAAAAUUAUCUAAAUCUAAUGAAAUUUUUCAUAAAUUGCCUUAUUUGAUCUUUGAAACAUUGUGUUAAAUUACAGUGGCAAGUCAACGCAAUCAUCUAAUCUCUUAUCAUCGAUAGUGACUUUCCAUGUGAAACAAUCGUUAACAGUAUUUGCUAAUUUUAUAUUAGUUUAUAC